UGAGGAAUAUUGGGUCAAUGGACGAGAGUCUGAACCAGCCAAGUAGCGUGCAGGAUGACGGCCCUAUGGGUUGUAAACUGCUUUUAUAAGGGAAUAAAGUUAGAGUCGUGACUCUUUUUGCAUGUACCUUAUGAAUAAGGACCGGCUAAUUCCGUGCCAGCAGCCGCGGUAAUACGGAAGGUCCGGGCGUUAUCCGGAUUUAUUGGGUUUAAAGGGAGCGUAGGCCGGAGAUUAAGCGUGUUGUGAAAUGUAGAUGCUCAACAUCUGCACUGCAGCGCGAACUGGUUUCCUUGAGUACGCACAAAGUGGGCGGAAUUCGUGGUGUAGCGGUGAAAUGCUUAGAUAUGGCGAAGAACUCCGAUUGC
rnacentral:rRNA from 1 species